rnacentral:tRNA from 1 species
UAUUUUUUUAGUAUAAUAGUACAGGUGACUUCCAAUCACCUAGUUUUGGUUUAAAUCCAAGAAAAAAUAG